UUCCUAACUAAUCUAUGAGAAAUGCUAGCGAUGUUCUUAUAUACAAAAUUAAUGGUAACAAACCAGUUCCGGUUUAAAAUACUAAUAGCAUGAGAAAUGAUAUCUGGUAAAGGAUGAUCAUCACUACAGCCUCUAGCGAUCUAUUUAUUUUAUUUUGGAUCACUUUGUUGGCGAUGAUCAAAUGAUUAAACGGCGUCCCUGUGUCGGGUCGUUAGAUGGACCGAGGAGUCGAGGACAAGCGCAAGAAAACCAUCAAGCGCGUUUUGAUAUUUGAGCUACAAAUCGACUCGUGACUCCGGGAGCAGGGCCCGGUUCGCUGCGGGGCAAAUAACAGUAUUGUGAGCGAACUUUGGGAGUGAGGGGCUCAAGGGGGCGAUGAUUGUACUGCGCCGAGGCAUGGCCUACUGUACCAAAUUUCUUCAUCCAAUCAAGCACUCUAUUACUGUAAUCUCGUCUCACAGCUCAUCAUUUUCUCAUCUGAAGCGGUCCAAUUAUGGCAAAUUCGAUUUCAUAAAAACAUUUCUGAAAACCAUAGAGCCCUCAGUAUGCGGACGUUCUUCCAUAUUCAAAUCCGAUGUACAUAUAGCUAGAAAGUAUCUAAGAAAUAUCUAUUUUUGUGGAAAUAAGUUCAGCAGUGGAAUCAUUUUAGGCACGUCAAUUGCAUAUGGGUCAGUUAUGGCUUAUGCUAUGGAUGCUCAAGAUGCUCUAGUUGAUGAACCCUAUGAAGACUCGCUGGACCUUUCAGAGGAGGAAGAACAUCGGCACCAUCUGUGGAUGCUUGCUAGGAGAUUUUGGCUUCCUGUCUUUCUCUUUCUUACUGUGUUGACAAACUUGGAUGAUCCGAUCUUGCUACUACUCAUUAAAGUUACUUUAUUCCUCCUUAGCACAAAGCCCAAUCCUUACUCUGUCUAUGUUUUCAUUGAUGAGCUUUGCCAACAAUGCAUGCGUCAAGAACCUUCAUUGCAUAAAUCAAAGUCAUUAUAUGCCAGCAAAGUUGAAGUUCAGGACUGUAAGCUUCUCUGUCUGGCCAAUAUUGAAGUGAGGAAUCAGAGUUUCACUUUGGUUGGAGUUCUGGGUAACUGGUGGACCUUGCCACAUAUAAUGCCUCAUGAGGCAUUUUCUUUAAUUAGAGAUAGACUUGGAAGCAUGUUAGUGAAAGCAACUUAACAAGGGAUUUGUUUUGAAUCUUUUGGACAAUCAUUAAACUGAGACUGAAGUUUGCUUGGGUUGGAAUUUAUGGUGGUUAAUGGGAAUUUGCACUUACCGUGGAGUGGAUAAGGCUGAAUGAGCAUAGUUUUUCUUAAGAUGCACUGAUGCAUAUAUCUGAAGACCAUUAUCUAAUGGCUAAUGAGUGAGAAUGCGUCUGUGGACAUGAGCACCAGGAACCCAUUGGAUCAUUCUAAUGUAGCAGGCGAUCAUUUUCUUCAGGGGAAUCGGCAUCUGAUGAAGGGCCACAGAACAUGCCUCCCCAUUGAGGGAAAUACAGCAAGGUCACUGGAAGAGUGCACAGUACCAUCAUAAUGCCCAUCAGAGAUAUGCUUGUUUGCCUUGAGAAUUGGGCCCCUGAAAACAACAGCGUUUGAGUCACCACGGCCCCAACAGUCCCUCCGCUCCCCGUCAUCCCUGAAAUUACUCCAAGCGAUCUGCACAAUGUGAUGCAUAAAAAUUCAGAGAGAGAGAGAGAGAGAGAGAAUUUGCAAAACUGAGGAGCCGUGGGUAUCUUUUCUUUUUGUUUUAUAUCGUCAUUAGGAAAUUGUGUUCCUACCAUUUAAGAUUGAAAGUCUCGAACUCAUUUGAAGGGUUUCGAAAUUAACACAUUCAAUUUGAAUUAGAAAGGAACUGAAAGCUUAUAUUAUUUACCAACAAAUACGAGCCGUGUUUUACUUUCCUUCUUGCUCUGACGUGGGUUUGUCUCGAAGCUCAAUGGAAUAAUGAGAUAGUGAGCUAACCUCUUGGAAACGAAGGGGACGACACCGAAUAUGAGGCCAGAAGCUGCUUGGACAAACACGGAGAAAGCACACAUGACGAGGAUAGAGCUGCAGAGAGAGUUGAGGCGUCCAAGUAACACACAGAGAACUCCAGCCACUGUUUGGACCACCCACAAACCCCACAAUCUCCCUCUCAUGCCAAACCUCCUUCCCAUCCCAUCAGAAAUCACUCCUCCCAGAGGCCGCGAGAACAAAUUCGCCAUCCCAAAACUUGCCGCUAUACUCCCCGCAACUUCAAUAUUCACGUCAAACCUGUCAUAAAAGUAUUGUGCUAUUAUGUUGUCUGUAGUUAGUUCCACCCCGAAAGAGAACCCAUAAAGCAGGCCCAAAAUCCACCCUCUGUAAUUGGUCAAGCCCUCCAAUACAAUCUUCAAUGCGUUCUCUCUUUCACCCUUCUGGGUCUGGCUGGUACGCACGUAUUUCCCCGAAGGCAGGUCUUG